GGCUGUGUGGCUCAGCGGUUAGAGCGCCAGUCCUAGUAUGUCUGGGGGUCUUGUGUUCAAUCCCCAAUCUGGCAU